UCAAAAACAUUCAUCUUAAAUAUUUUGUUCUGUUUAAGAUUAUUUUAAGACCAAAUUACUAAAAUUAAGAUUAAUAAUCUAAAAAAUCUUAAAAUCUUAAUAUAAGAAUACAAUUCUUAGAUUGUUAGAAAAGUAUAAAGAGUUACUAUUUCGUAUCAAACAAAUGGUAGCCCCAUUUCUGAGACCAAAAUUUUGAUUUUAAGACAUUUUUUUAU